AUUGAACGCUGGCGGCAGGCCUAACACAUGCAAGUCGAGCGGGGAAGGGUAGCUUGCUACCUGACCUAGCGGCGGACGGGUGAGUAAUGCUUAGGAAUCUGCCUAUUAGUGGGGGACAACAUUCCGAAAGGAAUGCUAAUACCGCAUACGCCCUACGGGGGAAAGCAGGGGAUCUUCCGACCUUGCGCUAAUAGAUGAGCCUAAGUCAGAUUAGCUAGUUGGUGGGGUAAAGGCCUACCAAGGCGACGAUCUGUUGCGGGUCUGAGAGGAUGAUCCGCCACACUGGGACUGAGACACGGCCCAGACUCCUACGGGAGGCAGCAGUGGGGAAUAUUGGACAAUGGGCGAAAGCCUGAUCCAGCCAUGCCGCGUGUGUGAAGAAGGCCUUUUGGUUGUAAAGCACUUUAAGCGAGGAGGAGGCUACCGAGAUUAAUACUCUUGGAUAGUGGACGUUACUCGCAGAAUAAGCACCGGCUAACUCUGUGCCAGCAGCCGCCGUAACAC
rnacentral:rRNA from 1 species